GUUUCACGUAAUCAGUUGAAUUCAAGUCAUAAAUGAUUCCCGGGUCUAAUGCCUUGUUAGGAUUAACCUGGCCAGCUCCCAUGUCUAAAGGAGUGGCUGGCUGGUUGUUAUUCCCAAUAUCUUUGAUAGGCCCAGUAGUCCGAUCCAUGGUAUCAGCAGUGGUCAUCAUGGCCGACCGGAUAGCUGCAGGGCUCCAAUCGGGAUGUGCCUUUCUCAAGAGUGCUGCCACACCUGCCGCAUGCGGGCAAGACAUGGACGUCCCAGAUAUUAUAUUGAAGUUGCUGAAUAGUGGU
rnacentral:misc_RNA from 1 species